rnacentral:rRNA from 1 species
CAGUCGCCGCGGGAACACGUAGGGUGCAAGCGUUAAUCGGAAUUACUGGGCGUAAAGCGUGCGCAGGCGGUUAUAUAAGACAGAUGUGAAAUCCCCGGGCUCAACCUGGGAACUGCAUUUGUGACUGUAUAGCUAGAUUACGGCAGAGGGGGAUGGAAUUCCGCGUGUAGCAGUGAAAUGCGUAGAUAUGCGGAGGAACACCGAUGGCGAAGGCAAUCCCCUGGGCCUGUACUGACGCUCAUGCACGAAAGCGUGGGGAGCAAACAGGAUUAGAUACCCCCGUAGUCCCUGUCUCUUAUAC